rnacentral:rRNA from 2 species
AAGUCGAACGAACUCUGGUAUUGAUUGGUGCUUGCAUCAUGAUUUACAUUUGAGUGAGUGGCGAACUGGUGAGUAACACGUGGGAAACCUGCCCAGAAGCGGGGGAUAACACCUGGAAACAGAUGCUAAUACCGCAUAACAACUUGGACCGCAUGGUCCGAGUUUGAAAGAUGGCUUCGGCUAUCACUUUUGGAUGGUCCCGCGGCGUAUUAGCUAGAUGGUGAGGUAACGGCUCACCAUGGCAAUGAUACGUAGCCGACCUGAGAGGGUAAUCGGCCACAUUGGGACUGAGACACGGCCCAAACUCCUACGGGAGGCAGCAGUAGGGAAUCUUCCACAAUGGACGAAAGUCUGAUGGAGCAACGCCGCGUGAGUGAAGAAGGGUUUCGGCUCGUAAAACUCUGUUGUUAAAGAAGAACAUAUCUGAGAGUAACUGUUCAGGUAUUGACGGUAUUUAACCAGAAAGCCACGGCUAACUACGUGCCAGCAGCCGCGGUAAUACGUAGGUGGCAAGCGUUGUCCGGAUUUAUUGGGCGUAAAGCGAGCGCAGGCGGUUUUUUAAGUCUGAUGUGAAAGCCUUCGGCUCAACCGAAGAAGUGCAUCGGAAACUGGGAAACUUGAGUGCAGAAGAGGACAGUGGAACUCCAUGUGUAGCGGUGAAAUGCGUAGAUAUAUGGAAGAACACCAGUGGCGAAGGCGGCUGUCUGGUCUGUAACUGACGCUGAGGCUCGAAAGUAUGGGUAGCAAACAGGAUUAGAUACCCUGGUAGUCCAUACCGUAAACGAUGAAUGCUAAGUGUUGGAGGGUUUCCGCCCUUCAGUGCUGCAGCUAACGCAUUAAGCAUUCCGCCUGGGGAGUACGGCCGCAAGGCUGAAACUCAAAGGAAUUGACGGGGGCCCGCACAAGCGGUGGAGCAUGUGGUUUAAUUCGAAGCUACGCGAAGAACCUUACCAGGUCUUGACAUACUAUGCAAAUCUAAGAGAUUAGACGUUCCCUUUGGGGACAUGGAUACAGGUGGUGCAUGGUUGUCGUCAGCUCGUGUCGUGAGAUGUUGGGUUAAGUCCCGCAACGAGCGCAACCCUUAUUAUCAGUUGCCAGCAUUAAGUUGGGCACUCUGGUGAGACUGCCGGUGACAAACCGGAGGAAGGUGGGGAUGACGUCAAAUCAUCAUGCCCCUUAUGACCUGGGCUACACACGUGCUACAAUGGAUGGUACAACGAGUUGCGAACUCGCGAGAGUAAGCUAAUCUCUUAAAGCCAUUCUCAGUUCGGAUUGUAGGCUGCAACUCGCCUACAUGAAGUCGGAAUCGCUAGUAAUCGCGGAUCAGCAUGCCGCGGUGAAUACGUUCCCGGGCCUUGUACACACCGCCCGUCACACCAUGAGAGUUUGUAACACCCAAAGUCGGUGGGGUAACCUUUUAGGAACCAGC